UUAAGCGACUAAGCGUACACGGUGGAUGCCCUGGCAGUCAGAGGCGAUGAAGGACGUGCUAAUCUGCGAAAAGCGUCGGUAAGGUGAUAUGAACCGUUAUAACCGGCGAUGUCCGAAUGGGGAAACCCAGUGUGAUUCGUCACACUAUCGUUAACUGAAUACAUAGGUUAACGAGGCGAACCGGGGGAACUGAAACAUCUAAGUACCCCGAGGAAAAGAAAUCAACCGAGAUUCCCCCAGUAGCGGCGAGCGAACGGGGAGCAGCCCAGAGUCUGAAUCAGCUUGUGUGUUAGUGGAACGGUCUGGAAAGUCCGACGGUACAGGGUGAUAGUCCCGUACACCAAAAUGCACAGGUUGUGAACUCGAAGAGUAGGGCGGGACACGUGGUAUCCUGUCUGAAUAUGGGGGGACCAUCCUCCAAGGCUAAAUACUCCUGACUGACCGAUAGUGAACCAGUACCGUGAGGGAAAGGCGAAAAGAACCCCGGCGAGGGGAGUGAAAAAGAACCUGAAACCGUGUACGUACAAGCAGUGGGAGCACCUUCGGGUGUGGACUGCGUACCUUUUGUAUAAUGGGUCAGCGACUUAUAUUCUGUAGCAAGGUUAACCGUAUAGGGGAGCCGCAGGGAAACCGAGUCUUAACUGGGCGUUAAGUUGCAGGGUAUAGACCCGAAACCCGGUGAUCUAGCCAUGGGCAGGUUGAAGGUUGGGUAACACUAACUGGAGGACCGAACCGACUAAUGUUGAAAAAUUAGCGGAUGACUUGUGGCUGGGGGUGAAAGGCCAAUCAAACCGGGAGAUAGCUGGUUCUCCCCGAAAGCUAUUUAGGUAGCGCCUCGUGAAUUCAUCUUCGGGGGUAGAGCACUGUUUCGGCUAGGGGGUCAUCCCGACUUACCAACCCGAUGCAAACUACGAAUACCGAAGAAUGUUAUCACGGGAGACACACGGCGGGUGCUAACGUCCGUCGUGAAGAGGGAAACAACCCAGACCGCCAGCUAAGGUCCCAAAGUCAUGGUUAAGUGGGAAACGAUGUGGGAAGGCACAGACAGCCAGGAUGUUGGCUUAGAAGCAGCCAUCAUUUAAAGAAAGCGUAAUAGCUCACUGGUCGAGUCGGCCUGCGCGGAAGAUGUAACGGGGCUAAACCAUGCACCGAAGCUGCGGCAGCGACACUAUGUGUUGUUGGGUAGGGGAGCGUUCUGUAAGCCUGCGAAGGUGACCUGUGAGGGUUGCUGGAGGUAUCAGAAGUGCGAAUGCUGACAUAAGUAACGAUAAAGCGGGUGAAAAGCCCGCUCGCCGGAAGACCAAGGGUUCCUGUCCAACGUUAAUCGGGCAGGGUGAGUCGACCCCUAAGGCGAGGCCGAAAGGCGUAGUCGAUGGGAAACAGGUUAAUAUUCCUGUACUUGGUGUUACUGCGAAGGGGGGACGGAGAAGGCUAUGUUAGCCGGGCGACGGUUGUCCCGGUUUAAGCAUGUAGGCUGGUUGUCCAGGCAAAUCCGGAUAAUCAAGGCUGAGGUGUGAUGACGAGGCACUACGGUGCUGAAGUAACAAAUGCCCUGCUUCCAGGAAAAGCCUCUAAGCAUCAGGUAACAUCAAAUCGUACCCCAAACCGACACAGGUGGUCAGGUAGAGAAUACCAAGGCGCUUGAGAGAACUCGGGUGAAGGAACUAGGCAAAAUGGUGCCGUAACUUCGGGAGAAGGCACGCUGGUGUGUAGGUGAAGUCCCUGCGGAUGGAGCUGAGACCAGUCGAAGAUACCAGCUGGCUGCAACUGUUUAUUAAAAACACAGCACUGUGCAAACACGAAAGUGGACGUAUACGGUGUGACGCCUGCCCGGUGCCGGAAGGUUAAUUGAUGGGGUUAUCCGUAAGGAGAAGCUCUUGAUCGAAGCCCCGGUAAACGGCGGCCGUAACUAUAACGGUCCUAAGGUAGCGAAAUUCCUUGUCGGGUAAGUUCCGACCUGCACGAAUGGCGUAAUGAUGGCCAGGCUGUCUCCACCCGAGACUCAGUGAAAUUGAACUCGCUGUGAAGAUGCAGUGUACCCGCGGCAAGACGGAAAGACCCCGUGAACCUUUACUAUAGCUUGACACUGAACAUUGAGCCUUGAUGUGUAGGAUAGGUGGGAGGCUUUGAAGCGUGGACGCCAGUCUGCGUGGAGCCAACCUUGAAAUACCACCCUUUAAUGUUUGAUGUUCUAACGUUGGCCCCUGACCGGGGUUGCGGACAGUGUCUGGUGGGUAGUUUGACUGGGGCGGUCUCCUCCCAAAGCGUAACGGAGGAGCACGAAGGUUAGCUAAUCCUGGUCGGACAUCAGGAGGUUAGUGCAAUGGCAUAAGCUAGCUUGACUGCGAGCGUGACGGCGCGAGCAGGUGCGAAAGCAGGUCAUAGUGAUCCGGUGGUUCUGAAUGGAAGGGCCAUCGCUCAACGGAUAAAAGGUACUCCGGGGAUAACAGGCUGAUACCGCCCAAGAGUUCAUAUCGACGGCGGUGUUUGGCACCUCGAUGUCGGCUCAUCACAUCCUGGGGCUGAAGUAGGUCCCAAGGGUAUGGCUGUUCGCCAUUUAAAGUGGUACGCGAGCUGGGUUUAGAACGUCGUGAGACAGUUCGGUCCCUAUCUGCCGUGGGCGCUGGAGAAUUGAGGGGGGCUGCUCCUAGUACGAGAGGACCGGAGUGGACGCAUCACUGGUGUUCGGGUUGUCAUGCCAAUGGCACUGCCCGGUAGCUAAAUGCGGAAGAGAUAAGUGCUGAAAGCAUCUAAGCACGAAACUUGCCCCGAGAUGAGUUCUCCCUGAGACUUUAAGUCUCCUGAAGGAACGUUGAAGACGACGACGUUGAUAGGCCGGGUGUGUAAGCGCAGCGAUGCGUUGAGCUAACCGGUACUAAUGAACCGUGAGGCUUAACCUU
rnacentral:rRNA from 1 species